GAGAGGAAGAGAACCAGAGUUCUCUCUGACCCGAAACGCGACCCGGAGACCUGCAAAGAGGAUCCGACCGGGGCUACUCCGUCCGGCCACCUCACAGCGGCGGACCACCGGCAUUAUCUUCGCAUCGACGUCGCCGUCACGUCUGUGGCCUCGGAUCGUGCAUGCACCGGCUGUAGACGGAGGACCGACGACUGGAAGCCCCGAACUCUCUCCGCCAACCUCUGCAAAUUCCGGCGUCUCCGACCACCUUCUGGGCCGUUUGUGUUCCACGACGCCGGCAGCUUUCCGGCUCUUCUUGGCUUCGUCCGGGCUUUGUUAAUCACAAAUUGUUGGGUUGAAUUGCGUCGAAGCCAUCAGCUCCUCACUAGUCGAGUUUUGGCAGUGAGUUUGGCUCGGUUGUAGUUGAUUACCGAAGGUAUAAUUCCAAACUUUGAAUUGGAAGAUUGCUCUGGUGAUGAAUUCGAAAUUGUGGACUGAAGAGCUUUUGAAUUA